AGCGAACGCUGGCGGCAGGCCUAACACAUGCAAGUCGAACGAACUCUUCGGAGUUAGUGGCGGACGGGUGAGUAACACGUGGGAACGUGCCUUUAGGUUCGGAAUAACUCAGGGAAACUUGUGCUAAUACCGAAUGUGCCCUCCGGGGGAAAGAUUUGUCGCCUUUAGAGCGGCCCGCGUCUGAUUAGCUAGUUGGUAGUGUAAUGGACUACCAAGGCUACGAUCAGUAGCUGGUCUGAGAGGAUGAUCAGCCACAUUGGGACUGAGACACGGCCCAAACUCCUACGGGAGGCAGCGGUGGGGAAUCUUGCGCAAUGGGCGAAAGCCUGACGCAGCCAUGCCGCGUGAAUGAUGAAGGUCUUAGGAUUGUAAAAUUCUUUCACCGGGGACGAUAAUGACGGUACCCGGAGAAGAAGCCCCGGCUAACUUCGUGCCAGCCGCCGCUGUAAUAC
rnacentral:rRNA from 1 species